GACGAACGCUGGCGGCGUGCUUAACACAUGCAAGUCGAACGGAAAGGCCCUGCUUUUGUGGGGUGCUCGAGUGGCGAACGGGUGAGUAACACGUGAGUAACCUGCCCUUGACUUUGGGAUAACUUCAGGAAACUGGGGCUAAUACCGGAUAGGAGCUCCUGCUGCAUGGUGGGGGUUGGAAAGUUUCGGCGGUUGGGGAUGGACUCGCGGCUUAUCAGCUUGUUGGUGGGGUAGUGGCUUACUAAGGCUUUGACGGGUAGCCGGCCUGGGAGGGUGACCGGCCACAUUGGGACUGAGAUACGGCCCAGACUCAUACGGGAGGCAGCAGUGGGGAAUAUUGCACAAUGGGCGGAAGCCGGAUGCAGCAUCGCCGCGUACGGGAUGACGGCCUUCGGGUUGUAAACCGCUUUCGCCUGUGACGAAGCGUGAGUGACGGUAAUGGGUAAAGAAGCACCGGCUAACUACGU
rnacentral:rRNA from 1 species